rnacentral:rRNA from 1 species
AAUGAACGUUGGCGGCGUGGAUUAGGCAUGCAAGUCGAGCGUACCCAGCAAUGGGGAAGCGGCAAACGGGGUAGUAAGGCGUCGGUACGUGCCCUCGGGACGAGGAUAGCCACGGGAAACUGUGGGUAAUACUCGAUGACAUCGUGAGAUCAAAGGUGUGAUUCCGCCCGGGGAGCGGCUGACGUGGUAUUAGGUAGUUGGUGGGGUAAUGGCCCACCAAGCCUGGGAUGCCUAGGGGGUNUGAGAGCAUGGCCCCCCACAUUGGGACUGAGAUACUGCCCAGACACCUACGGGUGGCUGCAGUCGAGAAUCUUCGGCAAUGGGCGGCAAGCCUGACCGAGCGACGCCGCGUGCGGGAUGAAGGCCUUCGGUUGUAAACCGCUGUCA